CCUACGGGGUGCAGCAGUGGGGAAUAUUGCGCAAUGGGCGAAAGCCUGACGCAGCGACGCCGCGUGAGGGAUGAAGGUCUUCGGAUCGUAAACCUCUGUCAGCAGGGAAGAACGGUCACUGUGCUAAUCAGCAGUGCAUUGACGGUACCUGCAAAGGCAGCACCGGCUAACUCCGUGCCAGCAGCCGCGUUAAUACGGAGGGUGCGAGCGUUAAUCGGAAUUACUGGGCGUAAAGCGCUCGUAGGCGGUAUGUCAAGUCAAGGGUGAAAUCCCCGCGCUCACCGUGGGAACUGCCUUUGAAACUGGCAAACUGGAGUGUGUGAGAGGAUAGUGGAAUUCCAGGUGUAGGAGUGAAAUCCGUAGAUAUCUGGAGGAACAUCAGUGGCGAAGGCGACUAUCUGGCACAUAACUGACGCUGAGGAGCGAAAGCGUGGGUAGCAAACAGGAUUAGAUACCCGUGUAGUC
rnacentral:rRNA from 1 species